UAGAGAUCGUAACGAAACUUCGUCAUCAGCUUAAUUACAGAUGGCGUAUUGCGUAUGCAUGAGGUCCACUUAAUUUUCUUGCUGUUGGUCAACCUGCCUUUUUGAAUUAUAUUGUGGUACUGAUUGCAGCGAAGCUUCACCGUCUCGUUAAUUACAGAACAUCAUUGCAACCGUGCUCGUAGCAAUGAUCGAGUGUUCUGUCGUUAAAAUAAAAAUAUCGCGAAGUAGAAGCAGUGUUUGUUCGUUCGCGUCUCGCGUUUUAAACAAUAAAUGCAAUUGUAUCGAUUGCGUGCAAUGCAAUCGUUAGAGUCAGUGUUUGUUCGCUAAGUUUCUUGCUUUUUUAACAGUCGCACAGACUGUUAUUAUAAAACACAGUAGAGUUUCGCGAAUUAAGUUCAGUGAUCGUUCGUUAAUAAAUAACUACCGCGAAUUAGAAUCAGUGCAUCACCGAAGAGGAUUUCAACCAACUUCGAUGUCGACCUACCUCAUUUUCAACCAACUACGAAUCAUCCACCCUCAAUUUCGACCUACAUCGCGGACGAGUGUUUUGGAGCCAUCGCAGAACCUCUUAAAUAGUAAGUGAAUUUUUAAGUACGAUC